UACGGGGGGGGCAAGCGUUGUUCGGAAUUACUGGGCGUAAAGGGCUCGUAGGCGGCCAACUAAGUCGGAUGUGAAAUCCCCAGGCUUAACCUGGGAACUGCAUCCGAUACUGGAUGGCUUGAAUCCGGGAGAGGGAUGCGGAAUUCCAGGUGUAGCGGUGAAAUGCGCAGAUAUCAGGAAGAACACCCGUGGCUAAGGCGGUUCUCUAGUACGGUACUGACGCUGAGACGCGAAAGCGUGGGGAGCGAACAGG
rnacentral:rRNA from 1 species